ACGGGGAGGACUUUUCUGUUUCUAACCAGCUCUCCGUCAGCAGAACAGCGGCUUCCACGUUGGAGCUCCAUCCUCAGCCAGUCCCACCGUGUGCACAGAGGAGCCGCUCUCUCACACAUGAGGAGACGAUAAUCACAUUCAUUCCUCACCAUCAGAGGAACAUUGUCAGAGGAGGUUGUGACCUUCACAGAGAAGCAGAACUCUGAACGUCCUGUUGAAGACCACAGCUUUCCCUCUGACCGUCAGGAUGCUGAUGGAGACUCCUCGCUCAUGGAUCCACAUUCCUGCCCCACCAGUGUCAUCAGUCGUCUUGUUCUGUUUCUACAAUGUCUAUCAUUUUAACUAUUUUAAUGUGUGUUGUUCUAAAUUGUAAAGUGUCUUUGUUAGCCUGGAUGGGUGCUUAUAAAUGAAAUGUAUUAUUAUUAUUGUUGUCAAAAUACAACUUGAAUAAUCUACAAACCCACAAAUUCAGUAAUUGUAUAUUUUACAAUCUGUAAUGCAGUUGCUAAGUAAAAAAA